ensembl:lncRNA
CUUGACCAAAAGACAGAUACCAAGAACAUAAAGACGAUUUAACAUUAGAUACUGCCAGGGGCACCCCUCCAGACCCAGAGGCUCCCAACAGAAUAGAAGAAAAUGUUGCCCUCUUCAUUACAGCAGAGGAGCUUCACCACGUUGUCUUUUUGAUGCUCCAGACGCCUCCACCGAGUCCCGUUAUCUUCCCACCUAAAGCGGUAUUCUUCACCCAAGAUAUUCGGCAGAUUUUCUUCAGCUGGUUCAACCAGCUACGGACACAAAAGACUGGUUAAACUCCAAAGGUAACUGUAAAUAAUGACCACAUAACUGUUAUUGUUGAAAUGGAAGCUUCAAAGCUAACCAGUUAACUAUAUAAUUAAAUUAACAUCACACAUUAUUA